rnacentral:misc_RNA from 1 species
GAACAGCGUGACAACGAACCCAGCUUGAGCGAAGCGCUCAGCAAAUUGUGGUAGGCCCAUCUCUUUGGUCAAGCCAAUGCCAUGCGCCAUAACAAUGGCAGGACAACGUUGACCAGAUGCGGCUUGAGGAGGAGUGUAAAAGGUGACGGAACACUUUAACCCUUUACUGUCAAAACUGGCAGCUCUUGUGUGCAUCGCUUUCUUUUAUUGCCUUAUCCUUUCAUUGCUCUUGAAGCCUGAGUUCAUCAUAGGCUUUGUCAAGAAGGUUCUGAAUACAUAAACCUUGCAGGUUCUUGCCUAAUUUUCUCAAACAUCAGGAUGGUGCUUAAAAGAAUCCUCUAUACUAGGCGUAGUAAAACGAUGAGAGGGAUGUCUCACGAUA